rnacentral:tRNA from 2 species
GCCUCCCUAGCUCAAUUGGUAGAGCAACUGACUUGUAAUCAGUAGGUUGCAGGUUCGAGUCCUGUGGGGGGCU